rnacentral:rRNA from 1 species
GAUGAACGCUGGCGGCGUGCUUAACACAUGCAAGUCGAACGAUGAAGCCCAGCUUGCUGGGUGGAUUAGUGGCGAACGGGUGAGUAACACGUGAGUAACCUGCCCUUAACUCUGGGAUAAGCCUGGGAAACUGGGUCUAAUACCGGAUAGGAGCGCCUACCGCAUGGUGGGUGUUGGAAAGAUUUAUCGGUUUUGGAUGGACUCGCGGCCUAUCAGCUUGUUGGUGAGGUAAUGGCUCACCAAGGCGACGACGGGUAGCCGGCCUGAGAGGGUGACCGGCCACACUGGGACUGAGACACGGCCCAGACUCCUACGGGAGGCAGCAGUGGGGAAUAUUGCACAAUGGGCGAAAGCCUGAUGCAGCGAAGCCGCGUGAGGGAUGACGGCCUUCGGGUUGUAAACCUCUUUCAGUAGGGAAGAAGCGAAAGUGACGGUACCUGCAGAAGAAGCACCGGCUAACUACGUG